GGGGCUUGGAAUUGACAGGCCGGAGGUGGGGCCCGAGUUCCUGUCUCCAGCCCACGAUUUGCCGAUCCAUCUGUCUUCCUCAGAGAGAGAGGGCGGAUAAUGCAGACUGCGCUUCCUUGGAAGACGGCAGGCUCCAGGCCAGACAAACGAAUGUAUCAACCAUACAGAUGAAGAGCUGAGGCUCAGGGAAGGAAUUUGCCAAGGUCACGAAGCUGUAAGACACAGAACCUGGGGUGUCUGCCUGUAGAGCUCACACUGACUCUACAGCCACUGAUCCAAAGCUUCAGUAAGGGGGUCUUUCUAGCAGGGCUCCCCCAGGAUGAGCAAGAGAUGAAGUGACCCCUCCAACCCCACAGCUCAGCGUCUUUCUUGAAGCUCCAACUCCAGGGCCAUUGUUUUCCUGUUCUCCCCGCUCCAAGGCCUCUCCUCUCUCCUUGGCCCAACUCUCUGACAGUGAUGCAGGUGGUUUACAACAACAGAAAUGUGUUCUCACAGUUCUGAAGGCCAGACGUCCAAAAUCAGAAUGGCAUUUGCUUGAAGGAUCCAGGGGAGAAUCCCUCCUUGCUUCUUCCAGCUUCUGGUGGCUCAUGGCAAUACCUUGACUUGUAGACAUAUCCCUCCAAUCUCUACUUAUGCCUUCAUAUCACCUUCUCUUCUCUUAUGAGAACAGUUGUCAUUGGAUUUAGGACCCACCCUAAUCGAAGAUGAUCUCACAUGUAGUUUAAUUACAUCUAUAAAAUAUGCUUUUCAGUAAGGUCA
rnacentral:lncRNA from 1 species